ACUUUUCCCCCUCUGAACGUGCAAAAGAAUGAUUUUCCGAAGCUGUGGAGGAAAGAAAGAACUCUCCUUCUGAACAUCUCAGGAUCUGAUGCAGAAACUUAUCGGAGUUUCUUACCGGAGCACCAGUCACCUCUCAUCAUUUUCCUGUUUUGACGUGAAGGCUCAGUGAUAGUGAGCAGGCUCAGGGUCUACAGAGUUGGUGAUAUCAGCAUCACACAGGACAUUCAGAAUGUUGACUCCAGGGAUGUUGAGAGAUACUCCUGCACAAAGCUGCCAGCACCCGUGUCCAAGAAACACUCAGAAUCUAGGUCUCCUUGUAUAUUUUCCCCACUACCUGCAAAGGUAAAGAGGAACAGGCAGUGCUGGGACCGAGGGAGCGACAGUCCUAAUGGAAGCUAGUGUGUUGAGAGUCUCCUCUGUGUCAUGCUCUGAGCGACAUGUUUUAUAUGCACGAUCUCAUUUAGACCUUGUGACAGCAUGUUGUAGCAAGGACCCCAUCAUCACAGGGGGCAAAUGUCUGCAGUGCAGAAAGUCGUCCUGAAGAAAUGGAUGUCAGAUAAAAACAGUCUUCAUAAAUCAAUGAUCCUGUUUUACCUCAAAAGUGCAUGAAAUGGAAAUGGAAAUAUCUUGUGAAGAUGUAGACAAAUGACGGUCAUUGCCCAGAGCAGUAGUUACUGUCAGAAAAAGAGAUAAGGAUUUCCAGUCUGACAGACUGGAUUCCUGGCUCAACACCACCCCCUUCUAACCAUGUGACCUUGGGCAAAUUACCUAACCUUUUCUGAGUCUCAAUUUCCUCAUCUUCCAAAAGGGGAUAAUAUCAUAUAUGUUCCAAGAUUGCUGUGAGUAUUAAAUGAGAUGAUGUAUGUAAAGUACCUGGCCAGCAGUCUCUGGCACAUAGUAAGUAUUCAAUAAAGACUAAUGGUGGAGAUGAGUAUAGGGGCUACUAAUGCCCAUCCUUACUCCAGAGACUUCUUUCUGACCAUCAUGAGGCACUUUUGAAUAUCUAAACCCAUUUAAAGCCCACUUUUCUCUAUGGCUGGCCAUUUCUGCCUAUUGACAGCUAAUUUGCCUCAUCCUACAGGACACCUUCCAUGUUUCCCCAGACUCCAGAAAUCAGGUAUUAAAUUAUCAGGGCUUCAGGAGCCAUGGUCUAUGAUGAGUUUACUACCUGUGCCCAAUAAAUGUUUAAGAAAUAAAUAAGAGCCAAUAUAACUAUAAAGACCAAGAGCCAAAAUAAGUCUCUUUGCUUGCGCUUUAGAUCUUAAGAGUCCUUUAUAUUCAAGCUGCUCAGAGUCAAACGUGUGCCUAAUAAACAUUCUACAAAGGUCCUGGCGUGGUGUGACCAAAGGAAGAGAG
rnacentral:lncRNA from 1 species